rnacentral:rRNA from 1 species
GACGAACGCUGGCGGCGUGCCUAAUACAUGCAAGUCGAACGCAGUGGGGACGGGUGAGUAACACGUGGGUAACCUCCCAUCAGAGGGGAUAACACUUGGAAACAGGUGCUAAACCGAUACUGAUGGAUGGACCCGCGGUGCAUUAGCUAGUUGGUGGGGUAACGGCUCACCAAGGCCACGAUGCAUAGCCGGCCUGAGAGGGUGAUCGGCCACACUGGGACUGAGACACGGCCCAGACUCCUACGGGAGGCAGCAGUAGGGAAUCUUGCGCAAUGGACGAAAGUCUGACCGAGCCACGCCGCGUGAGUGAAGAAGGUUUUCGGAUCGUAAAACUCUGUUGGUAGAGAAGCGGUAUCCACACAGAAAGCCACGGCUAACUACGUGCCAGCAGCCGCGGUAAUAC